rnacentral:rRNA from 1 species
UACAGAGGUCCCAAGCGUUGUUCGGAUUCACUGGGCGUAAAGGGCAGGCAGGCGGGUCGAUAAGUCGGAUGUGAAAUCUCCCUGGCUUAACCGGGAGAGUGCAUUUGAGACUGUCAACCUGGAGGGCAGCAGAGGAGCGUGGAAUUCCGGGUGGAGUGGUGAAAUGCGUAGAGAUCCGGAGGAACACCAGAGGCGAAAGCGGCGCUCCGGGCUGCACCUGACGCUGAACUGCGAAAGCCAGGGGAGCGAACGGG